GUGCUCACUUCGGCAGCACAUAUACUAAAACUGGAACGAUACAGAGAAGAUUAGCAUGGCCCCUGUGCAAGGAUGACACACAAAUUCAUGAAGUGCUCCAUAUUUUU
rnacentral:snRNA from 1 species